CAAUUUUCUUUCUCAGAUGGCUUUUGUUAGCAUGCGUUGUUCCAAUGUCAAGGUUCCAGCCGAGACCGGUCUGAAAUGUAUUUGUGUUCACAUUCAUCCCGGUCUGAAUUCAUGCCGGUCUGAAGUCAGUCGGCUCGGUCCAGCAGGCGGAAUGACUUGAGACCGGUCUGAGUUAUUUUCGUCCAGGUCUCAUGUAAACAUCUAUUAUAAAUAAUACUAUGACCGAAACGAAAUGGUCCCAGUUUGACUUCGUUC
rnacentral:lncRNA from 1 species